rnacentral:rRNA from 1 species
GAUGAACGCUGGCGGUGUGCCUAAUACAUGCAAGUCGAGCGAACAGACGCGGCGCUUACUCCUCUGACGUUAGCGGCGGACGGGUGAGUAACACGUGUAUCACCUACCUAUAAGACUGGGAUAACUUCGGGAAACCGGAGCUAAUACCGGAUAACAUGUUGAACCGCAUGGUUCAACAGUGAAAGACGGUCUUGCUGUCACUUAUCGAUGUAUCCGCGUCGCAUUAGCUAGUUGGUAAGGUAACGGCUUACCAAGGCAACGAUGCGUAGCCGACCUGAGAGGGUGAUCGGCCACACGGGAACGGAGACACGGUCCAGACUCCUACGGGAGGCAGCAGUAGGGAAUCGUACGCAAUGGGCGAAAGCCUGACGGAGCAACGCCGCGUGAGUGAAGAAGGUCUUCGGAGCGUAAAACUCUGUUAUUAGGGAAGAACAAAUGUGUAAGUAACUAUGCACGUCUUGACGGUACCUAAUCAGAAAGCCACGGCUAACUACGUG